UUCUCCUGAAUAGUAGUGGGAGCAAUGUGAUGCCCGGGUAUUUAAGCUACAGUGAGCCUCUGCUAAUGAUGCCACGUCACCUCAUUUACUGUUGCUAAUCUCGCGACGGUUCGAAACUUUUUAAAUUAAAAAUUUAAAUAUUGUCAAACAUCAAAAAAUUUCAAACAUCAAAACAAAAAUGUUCGGUUAGUGCCAAAUAUUACAUAGGUAAUUAUAAUAAAGAAAACACAAAUUUAUAAAAUACUUAUGUGCCCUAAGUUGAAUUAAAACAAUAAAAGUAAAUAAAUAAAAGAAAAGAAAAAAAACAACAAAAGAGAGAAAGAGAAGCCCCCCCCUCCUGGACCGCGGCCCAGCUGGCCACCAGGCCGGCCAGGCCGGCCCACCACGGUCCCCCCCCAUAACCCCCUGGGCGACCGAACCCUAGCCCGACACCCUCCACUUCCCCCAUGAUCCCCUUCUCCUCUCCCCCACCGAUCUGGAUCGGGAUCGGCCUCGAUCCCGUCGACCCCGACCACCUCGCCUNNNNNNNNNNNNNNNNNNNNNNNNNNNNNNNNNNNNNNNNNNNNNNNNNNNNNNNNNNNNNNNNNNNNNNNNNNNNNNNNNNNNNNNNNNNNNNNNNNNNNNNNNNNNNNNNNNNNNNNNNNNNNNNNNNNNNNNNNNNNNNNNNNNNNNNNNNNNNNNNNNNNNNNNNNNNNNNNNNNNNNNNNNNNNNNNNNNNNNNNNNNNNNNNNNNNNNNNNNNNNNNNNNNNNNNNNNNNNNNNNNNNNNNNNCCGGCCGCGCCCCUUAUCGCCACCACCGAGCCACGGCCCCGGCGAGCACGCCCACGCCCGAGGGCCGCCGUCGCCGCCACGCCGGGUUGCGCACUGCCGCACCCCCCGCCUCCCUCUUGCCCCGUCCCUGGCCACGCCCCCUGCGCCCCGUAGCCCCGUUCCCGCAACCUCCCGAACGCCACCACCGCCUCCACUCGCCGCCGGCGAAGAUUCCGGCCAUUACGGCCCGCGCCACCAUCACGGUUGGAUGCGGCCCAGCCCCACCCUUCGAACGCGCCCGAACAGGGCUCGAAUGGCGCGCCAUAGCGCGAUUCCGGCCAUCUCCGGCGUUCGGCCGCCGCGGAUGGCCUCGCCGGCGUUGCUCCGGCGCCGGCGCUAACCUGGCACCGACGUGGCCCGCCUCUGGGUCGCUGCCCGUGGCCCCCCUGGACUCGGUUGACCACGUUGACCGUGGUCAACAAUGCUGACUGGGCACUCAGUGCCACUGACCACAGGGUCCCACCCCAGAACGUUAAAAAAUAAAUAGAUAAUAAUUAAAAUAUUAAUUAAUUAAUUAAGUAAAUAAUUAAUUUAAUUAAUCCUGAUUAAUUAACCUAAUGGCUAUUUAACCUAAUUAACUACUGUUAAUUAACUAACAGAGUAUGACGAACGGGACCCACAUGUCAGGUUGACCAAGUCAACCCUGAUGACUGCUGACGUCAGCAUGACAUCAUGCUGAUGUCAUAAAUCCAUUUUUUUGAAUUAAUUAAUUAAUUAGUUAAAUUCCAGAAAUUAAUAAAAUCUUUAGAAAAUCAUAUCUUUUAAUCCGUAACUCGGAUUAAAAUAUUUUCAACAUGAAAGUUGCUCAGAACGACGUGACGAAUCCGGAUACGCAGUCCGUUCGUCCGCCACACACCCCUAACCUAUCGAACUCGCAACUUUCCCCCUCCGGCUCCUCUGCCCGAAAACACGAAACACCGGGAAUACUUUCCCGGAUGAUUCCCCCCUUAACCAGUACCACCUCAUACCACGUUAGGGCACACCUAGCAUCGUUACUUGUCAUGUCAUGCAUCGAUAUGCAUUUGUUUGCAUUGUAUUCAUUGUUUCUUCCCCCCUCUUCUCUCCGGUAGACUACAAGACCGACGCUGCUGCUGCCCAGUUCGACUACGGUGUUGACGACCCCUCUCUCUUGCCAGAGCAACCAGGCAAGCCCCCCCCCCCUUUGAUCACCAGAUAUCGCCUACUCUUCUCUAUACUGCUUGCAUUAGAGUAGUGUAGCCUGUUACUGCUUUCCGUUGAUCCUAUUCUGAUGCAUAGCCUGACAUUGUUGCUACAUCUGUUGAUACCUUACCCGCAAUCCUAAAUGCUUAGUAUAGGAUGCUAGUUUAUCAUCAUUGGCCCUACAUUCUUGUCAGUCUGCCUUGCUAUACUUUUGGGCCGUGAUCACUCGGGAGGUGAUCACGGGUAUAUACUAUACAUACAUACAUACUAUACCGAUGGUGACUAAAGUCGGGUCAGCUCGAAGAGUACCCACGAGUGAUUCAUGGAUUGGGGGCUGAAAGGACCUUUGUCCCGACGGCCCUCUGUGUGGAUCUUUGUGGCAGAGCGACAGGGCAGGUUGAGACCGCCUAGGAGAGAGGUGGGCCUGGCCCUGUUCGGUGUUCGCGGAUACUUAACACGCUUAACGAGAUCUUGGUAUUUGAUCUGAGUUGGCUACGAGCUUAUACGCACUAACCAUCUACGCGGGAGUAGUUAUGGGUAUCCCGACGUCGUGGUAUCAGCCGAAGCACUUCAGACGUCAGCGGCGGAGCGGCGCGCGUCAAAUUGGACUGGAACGCCACUAGGCUAGGUCUGCUUUCGGUCGCCCUCGCAACAUGCAGGUGUGCUAUGGGCGAUGGGCCCAGACCCCUGUGCGCUUAGGUUUAGACCGGCGUGCUGGCCUCUCUGUUGUGCCUAGGUGGGGCUGCGACGUGUUGAUCUUCCGCGGCCGGGCAUGACCCAGGAAAGUGUGUCCGACCAAAUGGGAUCAAGCGUGCUGGGUAAGUUGGUGCACCCCUGCAGGGAAGUUAAUCUAUUCGAAUAGCCGUGAUCUUCGGUAACAGGAUGACUUGGAGUUGUACCUUGACCUUAUGACAACUAGAACCGGAUACUUAAUAAAACACACCCUUCCAAGUGCCAGAUACAACCGGUGGUCGCUCUCCCUCAGGGAUACGAGGGGAGGAUCGCCGGGUAGGAUAUGCUAUGCGAUGCUACUUGGAGGACUUCGACCUACCCUCUUCCGCCUGUUGCAAGACGAAGGUGACCAGAAGCGUAGUCUUCGAUAAGACUAGCUAUCCCCCCUUAUUCUGGCAUUCUGCAGUUCAGUCCACUGAUAUGGCCCUUUACACAUAUACCCAUGCAUAUGUAGUGUAGUUCCUUGCUUGCGAGUACUUUGGAUGAGUACUCACGGUUGCUUUCUCCCCCCUUUUCCCCCGUUUCCUUUCUUUCUGGUUGUCGCAACCAGAUGCUGGAGUCCAGGAGCCAGACGCCACCGUCGAUGACGACUAUUACACUGGAGGUGCCUACUACUACGUGCAGCCUGCUGACGACGACCAAGAGUAGUUAGGAGGAUCCCAGGCAGGAGGCCUACGCUUCUUUCGAUCUGUAUCCCAGUUUGUGCUAGCCUUCUUAAGGCAAACUUGUUUAACUUAUGUCUGUACUCAGAUAUUGUUGCUUCCGCUGACUCGUCUAUGAUCGAGCACUUGUAUUCGAGCCCUCGAGGCCCCUGGCUUGUAUUAUGAUGCUUGUAUGACUUAUUUAUGUUUUAGAGUUGUGUUGUGAUAUCUUCCCGUGAGUCCCUGAUCUUAAUCGUACACAUUUGCGUGCAUGAUUAGCGUACGAUUGAAUCGGGGGCGUCACAAGUUGGUAUCAGAGCCGACUGCCUGUAGGAAUCCCCCUUUCCAACUCCUUGGCCGAAGUCGAGUCUAGUCGUUGAAAAACUUUUACUAACAUGGCUGUGUGGCCCAUGGGCCCACGUCGCCAUCGGGAGGUAUUAGGAUCUUUUAUUCCUCGACCUUUACUCUGGGAUUUUGAACCCUCUUCUAUUCGGGUUAAACGAUUUUUACUAAAAAGUAACUUUAGGUUCUCGAAAAUACUUUCUCCCGGAGAGCCCCUUCAGUCCAGAUGGUCACCGACUGCACCAGAAGAUUUCGGAGAUACUCUUUGAUAUUCUCUCGAGACUUUGUGCCCAUCACUUUUGCUAUUCCCGACCACCGAUAAAUCCUUAUGGAUAACUACUUGCACUUGCCAUUCUUACGAUCAUUCCCCAUUGUUCUUGUUAUUACAAGAUACCCGAAGUUUUCUCUAUUGUUCCGAGAAUACUUCGUGCCUACUGCCUAGCAGUUCUUUGCCACAUGAAUACCCCUUCAAAUAAAUCCUCGCACUUGUCGAGUAUCCGCUCAUCCCCAGUUGUUCAUGUGUUUCACAAAAGUCUUCAAAAUACUAUUCGAUCUUCCGAAAAUCCUCUAGAGCCUUUGGCUCUUGAAAUUCGUGCCUGCUUGCAUUAUGGUUAAUCCCAUAAGUCUCGUAGUCUUAUUGACAUUCCUUGUCAUUAUCAUUUUGAGUCUGUUGACUCAAUAUGUUUGCGAAUACACGCAAUCAUUAUUGAUCCUUAUAAAUUACCUUUUCGGCUGAGCUUCCAUUCUUUUAACUGGAAUUGGUUCUCGAUCAAUCCAAUUGUCGUUGAUUGUACCCUAAGGCUAUUCAACUUGUCCAUCCCUAAACAGAUCAUUGCUUCUGAUCCCUUGAUUUGGAAAUCAUAAUUCCUUUGCAUUUGACAAUUGAGUUAGUCAGUUGUUUCUAUAAUCUGAUCUCCUUGCAUUCUUCUUCCUCUAGUUGAGUACCGAUACUCGUAUUAGAUCCUUUGUGGACCAUCAAGUCCUUUGUUGGAUUGUUAUCCGACAAUGUCCUUCACAUUUGAUCACUUUGUGAGUUCUUCCCCUGAUACAUAAUGCCUUUGUUAAGUUGUAUCCUCUGCUUGGCCAACCAUGCUCUGCCUUCGAGCUUGAGUUAAUUAUUUCUAAAGAUUCUGGUAUAUGAUUCCAAGAAGCCCCUAUGGGUUGAACAUAUGCCUUCACUAAACCGUGUGAACCCGAAAGUUUUCACGAAUCAUACUCUUCUGGUGCUUCGCCAGAUAAAAUUUCAACACUGCAACUUCAUCGAACGUGAGAAGUGAAUGAAAGGUUAUGCAUUGGAGAAGUGGGAGUCGACCUUGAACUUGUGUUCAUGCCCAUGGACACGAUGUAGAUCUUAUCAUUAAAGCUUCUCUUAAAUUAAUUAUUCCUUUGGUAUAAGUUCAUCUUAUAUCAGGGAUCUGGCCUUUUGCAAUCGUGGUUUCGACCAUGUUCUCUUUUAAAUACCAUUUCUCGUGCAAGUUUUAACACUUGUCUUCUGUAGAGCAAUACCCCCGUCCAACCUCUACUUUGAUAUGUCAUCGAGUAUUACCCCCCCUGGUAUCUCGAGAUUAUCUUGGAACUGCAUAACUUCUUAUGAGUUCUUCAUCAAGUGCUACCUUCCCACUGAUCCCAAUUUUUCACGGGCUCUGAGUUAUAGAACACUCAAAGACACCGAUAACUGAACCGAGUCCGCUCUACGAUUCAAAAACUCUUCAGUAAGCUUCUAUAAGUACGAGUUUGUUACCCGAUCACGCCAUUCCUAGCAUGUUUGGCUAUAUCAUUGUCGUGACGAUUCUAAUGGUGCUACCUGGUCCUUAUUCUUGGAGCACCAAUUUUCGACGAUGAACUAACCUUACGUCGAAUUUCCUCGUCAUACCCUUUCACCUUAAAUAACAAGCUUGAGUUCGAGUUUGUGUCGUAACUAUGGUUUCAAUAACCUUUUGCUUCACCAUUCAUUUGACUUAAUGUCAUCGCCGAUCGAUUACAUCUUGGAAUCUCUCGACAAAGUGUGUCGAGAUCAUCAUCAAUCUUAUGAGCCCUUCCAGGACAUCAAAUGAGUUCAUGAUAAGAAAUACCAUCCUUGCCCUUGAUGAUCUGCGUUAUCAUUAACCUUUAUUGCCUUCCCACGAACACAAGCUUGUUCGUGUUUGGUGUUAUACCUUGAGUUCCUUGCUAUCCAACAUUGUUCUUCUUUACCUUGGAAUAUUACCACCUUUUAUGACAAGAUGUCGUGGGAAAUUUCACUACCUCUUGAGAACUCUUAAUACAAGUGAUACUUCUCACCAUCACCAUUCUUUCUUGGUCCCCGUGUUGAUUCCAACAAGUGAACGGUGUUGUUUGGAUUCUGCCCUUCUAGCAACCCUAUUGCUUUGAAGUUAAUGGUCGGUCGUUCGUUCUUAGACUAUUGAUUAUUGAAUCACCAUUCUGACAUUGGUCGUGCAACCCAACCCAUAUUUUGGGUGCACCUUUCAACAAAUGUUUAAUUGUGUAUGUUUUCCUCGAGCAUACCUCCUUAUGUCAUCUGAUCUAAGAAAUGUUAUCUCCUUAUUCACAUAGUUGCGGAAAUCCAUCCUUUUGGAAAUCUCGAGGAAUUGACGCUGAGUCCAUCAGCCACCUCCUCGUCCUCUUAUUGGUUAAAUGAUGAACUCUUGUUUUGGAACUUGCUUCCAUAGUUCAUUUCCAAGGAUCUUACAUUAUCAUCUAGUCAAUGUGUGUUACACCUUUUCUUCUCAGGUAUCAUAAGUCUGAGGUAUCCUGACACCAACCGGAUCUGAAUCUCGGUCAGAUAUGAUGGUUGGGACAUAUCUCCAAGAGUUGUAACAUUGAUCUCUACGUGACCCGGUAACAUGAUGUCAUGCCUAGCACCCCCCCCCCCCGGCUGGAGGACCUAUCAUUAUGAUUUAUUUNNNNNNNNNNCAUUUCCCCGAGAAUCUUACAAUGUCAUCUCGUCAAUUUGCGUUGCACCUUUUCUUCUCAGGUAUCCUAAGUCUGAGGUAUCCUCACACCAACCGGAUCUGAAUCUCGGUCAGAUAUGAUGGUUGGGACAUAUCUCCAAGAGAUGUAACAUUGAUCUCUACGUGACCCGGUAACAUGAUGUCAUGCCUAGCACCCCCCCCCCCCGGCUGGAGGACCUAUCAUUAUGAUUUCUUUUGCAAGAUAACCAUUCUUCCUGGAGGAAGUUGUAAGACUUAUCCUACAAGUUGUUCCUAAUGGAUCCUUCCUAUAUCCAAAGUCUGACCUUUGCUUGAAGACCAUGUCAAUGCUAUCUCGAAGCAUGUCUCUGGUACUCCGGUUUUCAACAAGACCAUUUGAAGCCCAAUGCUAAAUGUUUCUUGCUCAAUUAUCCAAACACCGUUGUAUGGGUAAUGUCAUGAAAUUUCUCUCCCCUUACCUACAGGGUUUUCUACCUUAUCUUCUGUCGUGGAUAUCUUGCUCUGCUUGUCGUUGGAAAGGAUAUACCCCCUGAAAUAGGUGUGGAUACACAUUUUCCUUUCCAUUGUUUUGAUUAAACCUGACAUCACUUUCCUUUCCAAUUGUUUUGUUUAACCUUUCUAUGAUCUAUAUGACAUAAGCAGUAAUAUCUCCCUGCUUAUGUAAACACCGUGGUGUACAACUCGAUCAGUAAGACCCUGUUACUAUUGUUGAUGACAUUUCGGUAACCACCGAUGGACGAGAACUUUGCCUACUGGUCCGCCUCGUUCAACGAGCAGGAAAAUGGUUCUCUUCGUCCCUCGCCCUUGGUAUCGACAUGGUUGCCAACAUAACAGAUAGGCUACCCUCUGGCAUGCCUCGCUAUUGUGACCGUGCAAGAUGUCAGCCCCCCCUUCCUACCUUUAACCCACAUGGUGGGCCCAUAACCCACAGUUCCACAGGAUCGAAACCUGACUCUCCUGUACCACCUGUUGGCAAAGUUAUUCCUCGUGCUUGACUUUGUAUGUAAUUCACGGGCCACUUGCCUGUUGAUCUAUUCUGGUAUCGAACACAAUACUUAUUCCCGUUGCUCAGAACCCCUUUCGCACUCUGCUUCAGGCAAUGAACGAUUGCCUAUCCGCUUGAAACUUCUUAUUGCACCGUCUUACUUUGCUCUCGAUAUGUGUAAUUUGUUCAACUCGAGAGAUACUCAUAUGUUUAUUCCUGGGAUACCCCCAGAUGAAUUUCCCUUAUAACAUCCUAUCAUUGUAGAGCUGCCCCUUACCUAUUCGUAAGUACGAUGGAGCUCCCUGAAGAAAGGACGACAACUUCCUCAUGAUGCUUUGGAAUAAAUAAUUGGAGGCAUCAACGAAAGGGAUUAACUUCUUCAAGAAGAUCCAUUAGAAUAACCAGAACUCCCCCCCCCCUUACUCCCCUCUUAAAUCUCGGGAUGAGAUUUCUUGUAGUGGAUGAGAAUUGUGAUGCCCGGGUAUUUAAGCUACAGUGAGCCUCUGCUAAUGAUGCCACGUCACCUCAUUUACUGUUGCUAAUCUCGCGACGGUUCGAAACUUUUUAAAUUAAAAAUUUAAAUAUUGUCAAACAUCAAAAAUUUUCAAACAUCAAAACAAAAAUGUUCGGUUAGUGCCAAAUAUUACAUAGGUAAUUAUAAUAAAGAAAACACAAAUUUAUAAAAUACUUAUGUGCC
rnacentral:lncRNA from 1 species